UUUAGAAUUAAACAGCAUUUUUCUUUCUUUUUUUUAAAAGGUAUUUUCUUUAUUUGCAUUUCAAAUAUUAUCCCCUUUCCUGGUUGCCCUUCGGAAACCCCCCCAUCUCCCUGCUCAUCAACCCACCCAAUCCCACUUCCCUGUCCUGGCAUUCUCCUACACUGGAGCAUUGAGCUUUCACAGGACCAAGGGCCUCUCCUCCCAUUGAUGUCCAACAAGGCCAUCCAAUGGUGCAUAUGGGGCUGGAGAUAUGGAUCCCUCCAUGUGUACUCUUUGGUUGGUGGUUUAGUUACUGGGAGCUCUGGGGUACUGGUUGGUCGAAUUUGUUGUUCCUCCUAUGGGACUGCAAAGCCCUCCAGCUCCUUGGAUGCUUUCUCUAGUUCCUCCAUUAGGGAUCCUGUGAUUAGUCCAAUGGUAGGCUGAGAGCAUCCACCUCUGUAUUUGUCAGGCACUGAUCCUGUCCUCACAGGAGACAGCUAUAUCAGGCUCCUAUAGCAAGAGCUUGUUGGCAUCAACAAUAGUGUCUGAGUUUGGUGAAUAUAUAUGUGAUGGGUCUACAUGUAGGGAUGUGUCUGGAUGGUCUUUCCUUCAGAGUAUGCCCCACACUUUUUGUCCAUAUCUCCUCCCAUGGGUAUUUUGUUUCCCCUUCUAAGAUGGACCAAUGUAUCCAUACCUUGGUCUUCCUUCUUUUUGAGCUUCAUAUGGUUCAUGAAUUGUAUCUUGGGUAUUCCAAACUUCUGGGCUAAUAUCCACUUAUCAGUGUCUGUUCUCUCAUGAUUAGGUUACCUCACUCAGGAUAUUUUCUAGCUCCUUCCAUUUGCCUAAGAAUUUCAUCAAUUCUUUGUUUUCAAUAUCCGAGUAGUACUCCAUUGUGUAAAUGCACCACAUUUUCUGUAUCCAUUUCUCUGUUGAAGGACAUCUGGGUUGUUUCCAGCUUCUUGCUAUUGUAAAUAAGGCUGCUAUGAACAUAGUGGAGCAUGCGUCUUUAAUACAUGGUGGAGCAUCUUCUGGGAAUAUGCCCAGGAGUGGGAUAACUGGGUCCUCCAGUAGUACUUUGUCCAAUUUUCUGAGGAACUGCUAAACUGUUUUCCAGACUGGAUGUGCUAGCUUGCAAUCCCACCAUCAAUGGAAGAGUGUUCCUUUUUCUCCCGACGAUUCUCAGCACCUGCUGUCCCCUGAGUUUUUGAUCUUAGCCAUUCUGGCUAUGAGGUAGAAUCUCAGGGUUGUUUUGAUAUGCAUUUCCAUGAUAACUAAGUAUGUUAAACAUUUCUUUUUUAUUGGGUAUUUUAUUUUUUCUUUAAUUAUAAUUGAAAUGUUAUCCCCUUUCCUGGUUUCCCCUCCUAAAAUCCCUAUCCCAUCCCCCUCCCCCUGCUCACCAACCCCCUACUCCUACUUCCCUGUCCCGGUAUUCCUCUGUGUGGGGCAUCGAGCCUUCUCAGGACUAAGGGCCUCUCCUCCCUUCAGUGUCCAACAAUGCCAUCCUCUGCUACCUAUACAGUUGGAGCCAUGCAUCCCUCCAUAUGUAAUCUUUGCUUGGUAGGUUAGUUCCUGGCAGUUCUGGGGGUGCUGGUGGGUUCAUAUUGUUCCUCCUUCUAUCUGGCUGCAAGCUCCUUGCCAUCAGAUCCUUGGGUCCUUUCUCUAGCUCCUAUAUUGGGGUCCUUGUGCUCACUCCAGUGGUUGGCUGAGAGCACCCAUCUCUGUAUUUGUCAGGUACUGGCAGAGCCUCUCAGGAGACAGCUAAAUCAGGCUUCUGUCAACAAGCACUUGUUGGCAUCCACAAUAGUGUCUGUAUAUGGGAUAUUGGUGACUAUAUAUGGAAUGGAACCCCAGGUGGGUCAGUCUCUGGAUGGUCUUUCCUUCAGUCUCUGCUCCACACUUUGUCUAUCUUCUCUCAUGGGUAUUUUGUUCCACCUUCUAAGAAGGACCUACGUAUCCAUACUUUGGUUUUUCAUCUUCUUGAGCUUAAUUUGUCUGUAAAUUGUAUCAUGGGUAUUCCAAACUUCUGGGCUAACAUCCACUUAUCACUGAGUGCAUACCAUGUGUGUUCUUUUGUGAUUGGGUUACCUCACUCAGGAUGAAAUUUUCUAUUUCUAUCCAUUUGCCAAGAAUUUCAUGAAUUCAGUGUUUUAAAUAGCUGAGUAGUAUUCCAUUGUGUAAAUAUACCACAUUUUAUGUAUCCAUUCCUCUGUUGAGAGACAUCUGGGUUCUUUCCAGUUUCCAGCUAGUAUAAAUCAGGCUGAACCCAGUGGAGCGUUUUCUGGUAUAUGCCAGGAGUGGUAUAGCUGGGUUCUCAGGUCGUACUAUGAUUUUCUGAGGAACCACCAAGCUGAUUUCUAGACUGGUUGUACCAGCUUGCAAUCCCACCUCCACAUCCUUGACAGCACUCUUGUCACCUGAGUUUUUGAUCUUAGCUUUUCUGACUGAUGUGUAGCUGAAUCUCAAGGUUGUUUUGAUUUGCAUUUCCCUGAUGAGUAAUGAUGUUGAACAUUUCUUUAGGUGCUUCUCAGCCGUUCAUUAUUCCUCAGUUGAGAAUUCUUUGUUUAGCUCUCUGAGUUCAAUUCCCAUCAAAUACAUGAUAGAUCGCAUCCAUCUGUAAUAGGAUCUGAUGCCCUGUUCUGGUGUGUCUGAAGACAGGUACAGUUUACUCAUGUAAAUGAAAUGAAUGAAUUUUUUAAAAAGUGUCUAUUGUUCUAAUACUUAUAUUAUUGUUCCAUUUUCACUAUUGGAUUUAGUGUAGAUCAUAAAUUUAACUCUUACGUAGCAUGCAGAGCAUUGAAGACCAUUCCUCCUGUAAAACAGAAUAGAAUGAAGCUCAGGGAUUCACCUCUCUGACUUUUUAAAAUGCUAAUGGCUACAAAAUGUAUGUAGAGUCGAUAUUCUAACAUGUCACUGUUGAAAUUGCACUAAAAACACAAGGUGUGUAUAAUGAUCACCAUGCAAUUUGAUUUUAAUACUUUCUAGGUUAUACAAAACAGUGAUUAAAGAGAAAGUGUAGUAUAAAAGUAAUUUCUAACCAGUGACAUUAAGUAGAAUACUCAGUAACUUAGCUAAACCAGAUGUGUCCUCAGGACAGAGAAGACCAGAAGAGCAGAUAGUCCUGCCGGGAAAUGCACUCUUGCCUCCGCUGUUUGAUUUCAGCUAUGGCAAAUGCUCAGUAUUAUAGAAGAGCAAUCUUCCUGAUGUCUUUCAACACCUUUGUGACUUAGAUCCAAUUCCUUUACAGUAAACAUUUUUACUGAUUUUCACCCACGACUCUAGUGCUUUCAUAUGUUACCCUGCCAUAAUUAUUAACAAACUUGUGUGUAGUUUAGAAGAUUGGUAAUAUAUACUUUUUAUAUUUUCUUCAUGUGAUGUUGUGUUUAUUUCCCUUUUGUCCUUGAAGAAAUGUUUUCAGAAAAUAAAAAUGUUGUUCUAAUUUAAAUAAAUAUUGUUCGAGGCUUGUCAAUGCCAGCCCCUGCACUGCACCUGUGCUCACCAUUGGUCUGGUUUUCAUGAGCAGAUAGUGCUCUGUGCUCCAUGACAUUUGACAGGUAUUUCCCUUUUUUUCCUGUCAGGACAUCCUGUAGUAAUAAGAGAAAAAGGCCCCACAACACGGGGCUUAUUCAUCAUUUCUUCCAAUGAGACAUCGUGCAAUAAGCUGAAGGAAACAUUGGGUUCUAGGGAAGAAGUGGAUAUAAAAUAUCACUCAGUCCAUGAAGUGGCCUGGAUCCUAAAGAUUAGACAUGGUUGCAGUGUGGUAAGAAACAUCAUUUUUUCAUCCACAUGGAGCAAAUAUUUCAUGUUCCUGAAUUCUCCAUCUAACAUCAGCAACAUAAAGAAUUAGAACAUGGACUCAGCAGCUGCCACAGUGGGAGGACAUGGACCCCUGGCCAUUGUGCACUGGCGGAAAGUCCAGUGGCUCCUCUUCUCUAGGAGAGUAUUAUAGGAUAAAUUAUCCAUAAUUGCGGGAAGGGGCCAAAGUUCAUAUCAAAUAUUCCGAUUCGUACCAGAAAAAUCACACUGGUCCCUGAGGGAUAAGAUUUACACUGAACUACAUAUUAACUGUAGUGAAGAAUCUGUGCUCAUAGUAGCUUCCGUUUUAAAGUAUUCUACUGAAGAUGCCAUGUACAAAUUACAUCCUGCUAAAACAGCUCAUCUCUGUGCUAUUAAAAUGAAAACCUCUAUGAGGAAUCACUUAGACACCUACACCUUAUCUGUCCGCGUAGCCCCUCAUGUGCUGUGGGAUCCAACUUGCUAAACUCAUAAUUUGGGAGUGACCUCCCAAAAUAGAUAUCUAUCAUACAUAUCAUGAUUGACAACUGUGUAGAUAUAUUUGGAUAGAAUAACAAUAUGAUUGUGACCAUAACCAAAAGAGGUCAGAUGACAUAAAGACAUCAGUAAAUACUGCUGCAGGGAAAAAUGAAACAACUUCAACAUAUAUCUUUUCACAAUGGAAAUUUCCUCAUGACUGAAGAAGUUGCUGGUCAUUUUAUUUCAAUAUUCCCUUCUACCUCCCUCUUAACCACAGCAGAAGAGAUUAUUACGAGAAACAACUUCAGUUUUAUAUUUAACCAUAUUGUUACAUAGUUUCACUCACUAUAUUUAUUUUAUGUUGUAUAUUACACAUUCUUAUCUAUUAAUAUUAAUAAAUGGUAUUAAAUUAUGUUAUU